AUUGAACGCUGGCGGCAGGCUUAACACAUGCAAGUCGAGCGGGGGAAGGUAGCUUGCUACCGGACCUAGCGGCGGACGGGUGAGUAAUGCUAGGAAUCUGCCUAUUAGUGGGGGACAACAUCUCGAAAGGGAUGCUAAUACCGCAUACGUCCUACGGGAGAAAGCAGGGGAUCUUCGGACCUUGCGCUAAUAGAUGAGCCUAAGGCGGAUUAGCUAGUUGGUGGGGUAAAGGCCUACCAAGGCGACGAUCUGUAGCGGGUCUGAGAGGAUGAUCCGCCACACUGGGACUGAGACACGGCCCAGACUCCUACGGGAGGCAGCAGUGGGGAAUAUUGGACAAUGGGGGGAACCCUGAUCCAGCCAUGCCGCGUGUGUGAAGAAGGCCUUAUGGUUGUAAAGCACUUUAAGCGAGGAGGAGGCUACUUUAGUUAAUACCUAGAGAUAGUGGGCGUUACUCGCAGAAUAAGCACCGGCUAACUCUGUGCCAGCAGCCGCAGUAA
rnacentral:rRNA from 1 species